ACGUAGGAGGCGAGCGUUGUCCGGAUUCAUUGGGCGUAAAGCGUGCGCAGGCGGUUUUGUAAGCCAGAUGUGAAAUCCCCGGGCUUAACCUGGGAAUAGCAUUUGGGACUGCAAGGCUGGAGUGCGGCAGAGGAGACUGGAAUUCCUGGUGUAGCAGUGAAAUGCGUAGAUAUCAGGAGGAAUACCGAUGGCGAAGGCAGGUCUCUGGGCUGACACUGACGCUCAUGCACGAAAGCGUGGGGAGCAAACAGGA
rnacentral:rRNA from 1 species